AGAUUUGUACCGUAAUCAACUUGUUCACCUACCUGCCGGGCUGUUCAAAGCCACAACCAAAUUACAAAACCUAAAUUUGAGGUAUAAUCAACUGGUUGACCUACCUGGCGGGCUGUUCAAAGCCACAACCGAAUUACAAACCCUAGAUUUGGAAGAUAAUCCAUUUUUUCACCUACCAGUGGGGCUGUUCAAUACAACAACCAAAUUA